ACUCAUCAACCCUGUGAACAUACCUAAACGUUGCUUCGGCGGGAAUAGACGGCCCCGUGAAACGGGCCGCCCCCGCCAGAGGACCCUUAACUCUGUUUCUAUAAUGUUUCUUCUGAGUAAAACAAGCAAAUAAAUUAAAACUUUCAACAACGGAUCUCUUGGCUCUGGCAUCGAUGAAGAACGCAGCGAAAUGCGAUAAGUAAUGUGAAUUGCAGAAUUCAGUGAAUCAUCGAAUCUUUGAACGCACAUUGCGCCCGCCAGUAUUCUGGCGGGCAUGCCUGUUCGAGCGUCAUUACAACCCUCAGGCCCCCGGGCCUGGCGUUGGGGAUCGGCGGAGCCUCUCUGUGGGCACACGCCGUCCCCCAAAUACAGUGGCGGUCCCGCCGCAGCUUCCAUCGCGUAGUAGCUAACACCUCGCGACUGGAGAGCGGCGCGGCCACGCCGUAAAACACCCAACUCUUCUGAAGUUGACCUCGAAUCAGGUAGGAAUACCCGC
rnacentral:rRNA from 1 species